UCCUUCGUAGUUCAACGGCAGAACGCCGCAUUGUUGAUGCGGAUAUCCAGGUUCGAAUCCUGGCGGGGGAG
rnacentral:tRNA from 1 species